UUUUUUUUUUUAAGAUAAAAAGACAAUAAACCUUAGGCUGGGAAUCUUGGGUUUGCUAAUCAGAGCUGUGUGGCUCCAAGUCCCAGUCUCUUCAGGGUCUCUGUCAUUCAUCACGCUGCCUGUGUGCUCUGUGCUUCCCAUCUUGUGAUAACAUACUAGUUAUUUUAGGGUGUUAGACAAAAUGUUGUGAAUAUUAAGUCUGACCAUGACCUAAGUUCUUCUGCAGCAUUGUGGGUAGACACAAAUCAGGAUGAAGAAUUCCUAACAGUGCAGAACUCCUAUGCAGGCGGCAGGUCUGCUGAAAGUCAGGGUUGAAAAUCCGCCCUUUCUCCAGCUGAGUCGUUUUUUUGUCAGACUGAGUCAUAAGAUUAACCCCUGACAAGUUCCUUUAAAAAAGAAAGAAAGCAAAGAUGAAACAAGCUCAUUGAGUAGGGCAGCACUUGAUGGGCUAGAAACAUUCCCUGUAAGAUGAGUCGCCUAGGGAAAGGGGCUGCAGCUGUUGCAGAGACUGGGGAUUUGUUGGCAGGUCGGGGGAGGGGGUUGUUUGUUUGUUUUGUUUUUUUAAAUAGAGAAAAAGACCUUGACAUAGAAGAGAGUUAAUAAUUGUGGUAAAGAAAAUGACUAUCCAGCCGGGCAGUUCCUAAACCUCCUCUCAAUUUAGAUAGUAGUAUGGUGCUUUAUGGAGGAGGAGGUCUGCGGGGGAGGGGUGGGGGGUGGCUUUAAUAUCCUUUUUCUCCCCUAAUAUGAGUCUGUCUUAUAGACUGUCGCUGUCUUCAGACACAUCAGAAGAGGGCAUUGGACCCCAUUUCAGAUGGUUGUGAGAUACCAUGUGGUUGCUGGGAAUUGAACUUAGGAUCUCUGGAAGAGCAGUCAAUGCUCUUAACCACUGAGCCAUCUCUCCAGCAUGCUUUAAUAUCUUUUUAAAUUUUAUUUUAUGUAUAAUGGUGUUUUGCUUGAGUGUAUAUCUAUAUUACCACAUGUGUGUCCGGUGCCCCAGGAAGACAUAAAAGGAUGCCCUAGGAUUUAAGUUACAGAUGGUUGUGAGCCACCAUGUGGGUGCUAGGAAUGGAGACCAGUCCUCUGGAAGACCAGCCUUCUUAAUUACUGAGCAUCUCUCUAGCCCUCCCUUCUACAUUUAAACUGAACAGUAAAUCUUAACCAGUUGUUAAUUUUAUAGCUGCCCUGCCCGCCCACCAAAAAGAUUUGUUUAGUUUUACUUUGAUUUUGUUGUUGUUGUUGUUGUUGUUGUUGUUGGCCUGAUUGCUGCCCUCAAAUUAUUACAUUCUUGCCUCUAAAAUAAAAACAGGGGAAGAAAGUCUGUUUCCUUGUGUUAUAAUAGCCAUGGCUGCAUAGAGAUUUACAUUAUACUGCUUGUUUUACCAGCAAAGCUAGCAAGCACUUUCUCUGUUGAGCUUAACUUCUGCAGGCUUUUCUUUUCUUACUCAUUGUAAAAGUUAUUUCAGGCUAGAAAAGAAAACAACUGAAAGUUGUCAGUGCAUUGUGGCUUUCUUCUCCUUAUUCUCUCAUGAUUACUAUUGAAAACUACGUUGUUUUUUGUUUUUUUUUUAGUAAUUAAUAGAAGAGAGAAAUUUUUAUCUUAGAUUGAUUUUUUUUUUCAGUUUAGUUCUGUCAAAAGAGAACAACUUGUCUAUGAAAGACUAAAAUUUACUUGAAAGGUUUUAAGACAUGGCAUUGUUAAUUGUAAAUCAAAGCUUUUCACACAGUUCUCCAAGGGCUGAGGCAGGCUUUUGUGGUCCCUCAGGAGGGAGGAAGUUGCUUGUGCUCUGAGACUGGCAUUUAAUAGCUGCUGUGCAGUGAUGUUCUUUUGCAGCUGCUGCUAGGCCUUUUCUGUAUCUGGGGAGAGUGGGAGCGCUCAUUGUUGGCCUGAUGCUGUCAGCUUUUGAAUCCUGUGUUAGCUGGCCCUAUUGCCUGGUGCUGUUUAUUACUGUGACUCAAUCAGUAUGUUUCCUGAGAAUGGUGUUUGUUUGGGGUUUUUGUUUGUUUGAUUGGUUCAGUUUUUGUCUCUUACAGACUAGUCAUAGAAUAUUUCAAUGGAUUUCUGCCUCAUGAAAAGUGUGUUUUAAAAAGGUGAUGUGUCCCUUUGCACAAUCCUGCUGUUAUCUUUGAAGUACAGAGAGAAGAAAUAGUACAAAGAGGGUUUGAUGUGGGUAAUGAAAAAAUAAAGGUUGUUACUCUGUUUUUGUGGGUUAGAAUCUACACAAAAUGAUAAAUUGUAAGAGUGUUUUAGAUAGUAAAUUGUGUCUGUGUGAAACAUACUUAGAGACAAAGCUUCAAGUCUUUGACUUUAUAGUAUUAGCAAGAAAAAUCAGACAUUUUUCCUAAGAAAUGUUUUUAACAUGAAUAUAUAACUAUAAAUAAUGAUUCCAUAGGAAUAAGGGGAAACUUCUAGUAAGCCAUAUUUACUUUUCUAGCUAGAAUGCACCUUUUAUCUCUACACUCACCAGCCUUUCAAUCUUUAAAUUAUAACACUUUUUCCUGUUCCAUCACCAAAUUGUUUAUUACAUACUAGAUGUUCUAAAGAAUGCAUUCCUUUGUAAACUCUUCAUUAGUGUUGUGAAUGAGAAAUCGAAGGAACUUUAUAAAAAAUCUUUAUUCAUUAAACUUUUCCUUUUCAAGAAUGUCAUUUUAAGCAUAGGUAAUUUUUUUCCCAAGCAUAGGUAAUUUGUUUUGAAGAUAAUUUCUAAUUUUAAGAAUUUUUUUCACAAUGUAACAAAACAAAC
rnacentral:lncRNA from 1 species